UAUGAAAGUCAUACCUUACGUGGACUCAGCACAUUACAAUUUACAAAGUAUUUGCACAUCUACAAACUCAUUGGAUCAUUACAACGUGAUGUGCUGAGCCAUAGGUAGAGCCCAGUACCCAGGACAAAGCAAAGCAAAGCUGCUAGUAUGUGUACUCCAGGAAGUUUCACCAUUGACACAGUAAAGGGAGAGAAGGUGUCUCGGUUCUGGAACUGUACACCCAGUGAGCUCUCAGCUGGAGCUCGGGCAGGAGAAUCCUUUGGGGAUUUGACAGAUGGGUAUUUGUGCAAAGGUGCCAUUUACAUACUGUUACGGCCAUCACCAAGGCUCUCUAGGGCAUAGCCUCUUGGGGGAAGUCUUGGACCUGCUGGAAGAACUGGGAUGUGAGCCUGAACCCAUUUUCCAACUUUCCACCCAAUACCUUUGCUAGACUUGGUAGAGUCAGGACAUGAUAAGAAGGCUGGGAAGAACAACCAUCACUCCAGGACAAAGAAACAGGAGAAAAGGAAGCAGAAUUCAAAUCAAACAGUGACUUGGAGCAUCUAGGAACAAAGCCAACCAAUAAAUAAUCUAGUUACAGACUGUGGUACCUGCCUCCCCCCAGGCAGUGGCAAGACGUCAGGCUCCUGAUGGCUCCCGCAACCCACGUGUAGCAGAGAUGGGCAUAUGGUGAAUGCACAAUCAAUCAAUAGUCAGUUGUCAAAUACAGCAUGUGGUACAGCAGGAACAUGUCAGAACCGGGAAGCAGCGAUAGAACCUUCCUCCUCCCUCACUGAGUGAACAGAGCUUUACACUUCCCCUCAUGGACCCAGAUCCCCACCAAAGUGGCUCACCCAAACCCUUCCAGGUCUUCACGUCUUCCUGGACCUGAAAGACAGAUUGGCUUCCUAGGGCCAUUUUCUAAAAAGAGAAAGGGAGUUGCUCAAUAGAUUUCAUAUCUGCAUCCCAGGAGAGUUAUGGUCGUGUUGCAUGGAUGUGUGGAGGGUCAUCCAUCACCCACAGACACCAGACAGCUCCAGAGAACAACUGACUUCUGUGUUUCCCUCAAGGAAACAUCUUUUUGCAAGAAACAAUGUCCCUUUGAAAGUUACUUUUAGGAGGGAAGUGAAGAUGGAUAUACGCAGUGUAAAGCCCAGGAGAGCCUCCUGAUAGGCAGAAGGCAAUUACUCCAGCCCUGUGGCUGUCCCUUGAACAGCUCUUCUCGUGUCUGCAGAGGUCCAGCCAAGGAUGACAGAGGUGCUUGGCCAAUACCUGUCCAACUGAGGUCCCCUGACCAUUUGCAUCAAACUCACCUUGGGAGCUGAAAAAAGGAAAUAAGGCAAAACCUGAGCCCCAGAGCAAACCAAUUGAAUCAGUCUGCUUUUUUCCUCCAGCUCCUCUGGUGACAUUUAUUCACCUUGAAGUUUUAGAACCGCUAAGUUAGAAGCUCCAAUUCCCUUCCAAAGGAAGACAGGCCAUUAGGUAAAUAGAGACUCUCAGAUUAUUUUCAUUUGGAAACACUUCUGGGAGCUCAAAUCUCUGGAGGUGCAGGGCCGGUGCCUUCAUCUAUGCCCCCAUUUAGUGGCUUUGCAGGGACAGGGUAGCUGGUGGACCUUCAAAUGCUGUUGCCAUGGGAUAUUCACAUUCAAAGGAAAUCCUGAACUGGAAGAAUUCCCAGUGGGUCCCAUGGUGAGAAUAUGCUCAUCUUGCAUGAGAAGAGAAAUAAAAAUAGGAAGCCUGCAGAGGUUUAGCACUCUCUAUUUCCCUAGGAAAGCAAGUCAGUUAGCAGGUUGCUUAGACAUUCUCAAGCCAGACAGGUUCCCCAAGCAAAACCAGCUUCCGGUUUCAUUUCAGUUUCAAGAGAAGACUCAGGGGAGUGGAGAAGGGGAGGAGAGGUGUGGCAAAGAUCAGGGCUGGCUCCAAAUCUGCAGGUUGCCAGCUGGACUUAAGAAUAUGUGUUGAAAAUUGAGGGGUCUGUGAGUCCUAGCCACCUGUCACUAACUACUCUGUGGCAGAGACAGUUGUGUGUCUCCCCAUACCUAUUUUCUCUGUCUUCUCAGGUACCAGAACCGCUUGCUGUUUAGCUGGGCACAUGGUCGGAGCUACAUGUCUUCCUUGUAGCUAUGCAUGGCCAUAAGUCCAAGCUUUGGUCAAUGGAAUCUAGGUAGAAAAUCAAGUCAGAAUUUCCAGGAUACUCCCUGAAGUUGUUACGCACUUUUUAUUUCUCCUUUUUGUUUUCUUUCUCCAUCCUGUUGCCUGGAGUACAGACAUCACGAUUUCAGGCUGUAAGAUUAAGGCCAGUACAAGGGAGGGAGCAAGAAGGCGGGAAGAACAGGGUCUCUGAGGACUUUCAGGAGCAGAGCUGCCAAAGAGCCUUGGACUGCUUACCUUGGGACUUGACUUACAUAAGAAAAAAAAAAAAUAAACGUCUAUCGUGUUUAAGCCCCAUUUUUUUAAAUGUCUUGCAGCCUUUGAUGUUUUAUCUCCUUAUGGAGGUUAGUGUUUGGCAGUAACAUAGCAGAGCAGCUGAUCAAAGGCACGAGGAAGGCAACAUGUAUUUCAUGGGAGCUGAGUCGAGAAGUUUUAGGUUUAAAUCCUGGCCCUGUCACUCUUGAGCCAUGUGACCUCAGGCAAACCCAGUUACUUACAAGCCUCAGUUAACUAGGGUUAACUUGUAGAAUGGGAAUAAUACUACCUACCCCCAAAUGGCUGUUGAGAAGUUUUGGUCCAUGGAAUUUAGGUGGGAAAUCAACUCAUAAUUACCAGAGGAUAACUUCUUGGCUCAGUGCCCAGUAACAAGAUGCUGUGUUGUGUGUUUUUCUUUUCGAGUUUAACGUCACAGCCAAAUCCUUCUCACUCAACCCAGGUCGUUAGCACUGCUUUCAGAUCUAUAUUGAGAACUUGUUCUGUUUUUAGUGCUCAUUUUUAAGCAAAAUGUGUGGCUUUUUCAGCAUUCAACUCUGUUGAUAUCCACCUGCUGAUUCUUCACAAGGGUUCUUCAAGCUGGGAUCCCCUUCAGCUGUGAGGCACAGAGAUUCGGUGGACACCAUCAUCUGGGUGUCCCCUUAUCAUAAGAUUUAAAAAAAUCCUGAGGCCAAAAUCAUUUGGCACAUAACACCAACACAUGCACUGUUAUGGGUUUGAGUUCUACUU
rnacentral:lncRNA from 1 species